rnacentral:rRNA from 1 species
UACAGAGGUGGCAAGCGUUGUUCGGAAUUACUGGGCGUAAAGAGCGCGCAGGCGGUCGUUCAAGUCGCGUGUGAAAGCCCCCGGCUCAACUGGGGAGGGUCACGCGAUACUGAUCGACUCGAAGGCAGGAGAGGGAAGUGGAAUUCCCGGUGUAGUGGUGAAAUGCGUAGAUAUCGGGAGGAACACCAGUGGCGAAGGCGACUUCCUGGCCUGUUCUUGACGCUGAGGCGCGAAAGCUAGGGGAGCAAACGGGG